UUAGAGUUUGAUCCUGGCUCAGGAUGAACGCUAGCGGCAGGCUUAACACAUGCAAGUCGAGGGGCAGCGAGAUCAGUGCUUGCACUGAUUGUCGGCGACCGGCGCACGGGUGCGUAACGCGUAUGCAACCUACCCAUUACAGGGGGAUAACACUGAGAAAUCGGUACUAAUACCCCAUAACAUCCAGGGAGGCAUCUUCUUGGGUUGAAAACUCCGGUGGUAAUGGAUGGGCAUGCGUUGUAUUAGUUAGUUGGUGGGGUAACGGCUCACCAAGACAACGAUACAUAGGGGGACUGAGAGGUUAACCCCCCACAUUGGUACUGAGACACGGACCAAACUCCUACGGGAGGCAGCAGUGAGGAAUAUUGGUCAAUGGACGCAAGUCUGAACCAGCCAUGCCGCGUGCAGGAAGACGGCUCUAUGAGUUGUAAACUGCUUUUGUACGAGGGUAAACGCAGAUACGCGUAUCUGUCUGAAAGUAUCUUACGAAUAAGGAUCGGCUAACUCCGUGCCAGCAGCCGCGGUAAUACGGAGGAUUCAAGCGUUAUCCGGAUUUAUUGGGUUUAAAGGGUGCGUAGGCGGUCGGAUAAGCUAGAGGUGAAAUCCCGGGGCUCAACUUCGGAAUUGCCUCUGAUACUGUUCGGCUAGAGAGUAGUUGCGGUAGGCGGAAUGUAUGGUGUAGCGGUGAAAUGCUUAGAGAUCAUACAGAACACCGAUUGCGAAGGCAGCUUACCAAGCUACUUCUGACGUUGAGGCACGAAAGCGUGGGGAGCAAACAGGAUUAGAUACCCUGGUAGUCCACGCAGUAAACGAUGAUAACUCGUUGUCGGCGAUACAGUGUCGGUGAAUAAGCGAAAGCGAUAAGUUAUCCACCUGGGGAGUACGUUCGCAAGAAUGAAACUCAAAGGAAUUGACGGGGGCCCGCACAAGCGGAGGAACAUGUGGUUUAAUUCGAUGAUACGCGAGGAACCUUACCCGGGCUUGAAAGUUAGUGACGGAUCUUGAAAGAGGUCUUCCCUUCGGGGCACGAAACUAGGUGCUGCAUGGUUGUCGUCAGCUCGUGCCGUGAGGUGUCGGGUUAAGUCCCAUAACGAGCGCAACCCCUACCGUUAGUUGCCAGCAGGUCAAGCUGGGCACUCUGACGGGACUGCCGGUGUAAGCCGAGAUGAAGGUGGGGAUGACGUCAAAUCAGCACGGCCCUUACGUCCGGGGCUACACACGUGUUACAAUGGCAGGUACAGAGGGCAGCUACCCAGCGAUGGGAUGCGAAUCUCGAAAGCCUGUCUCAGUUCGGAUUGGAGGCUGAAACCCGCCUCCAUGAAGUUGGAUUCGCUAGUAAUCGCGCAUCAGCCAUGGCGCGGUGAAUACGUUCCCGGGCCUUGCACUAACCGCCCGUCA
rnacentral:rRNA from 1 species